CCUACGGGUGGCAGCAGUGGGGAAUAUUGGACAAUGGGCGAAAGCCUGAUCCAGCCAUGCCGCGUGUGUGAAGAAGGCCUUCGGGUUGUAAAGCACUUUCAGUGGGGAAGAAAGCCUUGGGGCUAAUACCCUCGAGGAAGGACAUCACCCACAGAAGAAGCACCGGCUAACUCCGUGCCAGCAGCCGCGGUAAUACGGAGGGUGCGAGCGUUAAUCGGAAUUACUGGGCGUAAAGCGCGCGUAGGCGGUCUGAUAAGCCGGUUGUGAAAGCCCCGGGCUCAACCUGGGAACGGCAUCCGGAACUGUCAGGCUAGAGUGCAGGAGAGGAAGGUAGAAUUCCCGGUGUAGCGGUGAAAUGCGUAGAGAUCUGGAGGAAUACCAGUGGCGAAGGCGGCCUUCUGGACUGACACUGACGCUGAGGUGCGAAAGCGUGGGUAGCAAACAGGAUUAGAUACCCUAGUAGUC
rnacentral:rRNA from 1 species